rnacentral:lncRNA from 1 species
GCUGAGGUGGGAGGAACAUGAGCUGGAGGCUGGCCUAGACCACAUAGCAAGACCCUUAACAACAAACAAACAAAUAACACCAAAAACCAUAAACACAUAAGUAUACUGAAUUAGUAAAUUCUCUAGCAAAACCUUUAACAGAAGUUAGUUUUGUAAAUGCUUAAUAGACCUAGACAAAAUCUCAUUCAAUCUGAUGAGUUUAAUAAAACAAAAUAGUUUGUUUGAAUACUUAUUUUGAAAACACUAUAUUUAAAAAAAAACAAAAAAACAAAACAAAAAAAUCUUGGGAAGGCAAGAGGAUGCUGGGUACAAGCGCUUGCUGGGAAGCCGAGAACCUGAAUCUGAUCUCCAGAACCCACGUGGGGAAAGGCAAGAAUCACAACAAUGUCUACUGACCUCCAUGUGUGCUCUGGUGUGCACACACAAGAAAUACAAAAACAACAACAAAAACCCCAAAAACAAUAGGCACAGAGGCACUCACCUUUAACCUCAGCACCUGGGAGGCAGAGGCAGGUGUCUCUCUUAAGAGUUCAAGGUUAAAGGCCAACUUGGUCCACAUAGCAAGUUCCAGGCCAGUCAGGGCUACAUAGUGAGACCAUGUCUCAAAACAACCAAAGCCACAUCUAAAGCUUUGAAUCAGAAAUGCAAUGGUGCUACUCUGAUAGGAAGUCUCCUGUCCCCAAUCUUCUUGAAGACCAAAUAUUGUAAUUCCACAUGAAUAAACUCCAUGGCUAACUACAGCAAAUCUUACUUUCCAUUUCUGAGUUAGACAGAACUAGGACUUACUUUACCACUUCAUAAAAAACCAAUAGUUGGUCCUAUUACUUUCAAAUUGUUCUGACUGCAACCAACACUCUAGUAAGCAAGAUAUUUGCUGUGUUGUACAGGCAUGUGAUGAGUUUUAUUUAGAACGUUUCUAAGGAUUCUGCUUCAACAGUGUUGCAUGCAGCAUUCAAGCAUCUUUAUGAAGAAGUCUAUUUUGCAGAGAUCAUGUGUCAUCAAGAUCUGCAGAGGGCUGGUGAGAUGGCUCAGUGGAUAAGAGCACCCAACUGCUCUUCCGAAGGACCAAAGUUCAAAUCCCAGCAACCACAUGGUGGCUCACAACCACCCGUAAUGAGAUCUGAUGCCCUCUUCUGGUGUCUGAAGACAGCUACAGUGUUCUUACAUAUAAUAAAUAAAUAAAUCUAUAAAAAAAAAAAAAAAAAAAAAAAAAAAAGAUCUGCAGAGUUCUCGUUGUCAUUUGCAACAAGGGCUUCUCUGUUCUCGUAGGUCCAGAAGCCAUUGAGAUCAAUUAGAAUGGUAGUGACUGUGUCUCCUUGAUUACUGUUGAUUAAAUCCUGAAGUGAGAUUUUCAAAGGAUCCUUUGGUUUGACCAUGUCAAAGAUUUCAUCCUAUAAGAGAAGAAAAGAUUAUGAAAGCUGAUUGAAGUAGCUUGUGUCACACAGUGCUAUUAAACUCAGGGUGGACAUUUGAACUAUUGUACAAGUUUUUAUUGCAGUUUCUUCUUCCCCACCUGAUAGGUAUCUCUAACCACAGAAUUUGUUGGGUAAUUCUUUAGCUGAAUAACUAUCUCUUAUUUUAUAGAUGAAGAAAACAGGCUCAGUUUAAUCUAAGCUCAUAGCUAAUAAAGGACAGAGCUAUCCAAUACAGCAUUCUCUGAAUGCAAUGAACUAGUUACGGUUUUUAUUGCCUCCUAAUGGUGAAGCAAAGUCUCGACACAAUUUUCUUUUUUCCCCCACUGCUGGGAGUCAAACCCAAGACAUCCAUCUCAUGCCAGGCAAGCUCUGACACUGAGCUCUGCCAUGAUGCCUCUUAAGAGCUCAGCUAAGGAGUAAAACCUCAGGUGGCUCAGAGAUAGUGACAGUAAUCGUGCCUUUCACACUCUCUUCACAGUAUGGGGAGAAUGGAACUCCAUGUUAAAGAACUAGUCAUCCAUAAUAAUGAAACUGUUCCUAGACUAGAAUUCCGGAAAGACCCUCUUCUAGGUUAUCAAGUAUACAAUAUAAAUAUUUGCAAAGCAUUAACCUCUGUAGACCAGGCUGGCCUCGAACUCAGAAAUCCGCCUGCCUCUGCCUCCCGAGUGCUGGGAUCAAAGGCAUGCGCCACCACGCUGGGCUUGCAAUUCCGUUUUUAAAAAAUUUAGAGUUACUUGAAUCUAUGUAGUCUUCCAGUUGAAUGUUGCAUUUACAGUAAAAAGGACUGCUAAAGGAUACAAGCUAACUGAUAAAUAAAAUGAAUGUUUUCAUGAGAACCCAAGACUAAUAAUGAAAUUAUCAAAUUCAUCAAUCAGAAGUCCAAAUUUGUCUCCAUUUCUGAUGAUUUAAGUUUCAGUUCAGAACAAGUAACAGCAAAAACCUGAUUUAGAAUGGUGUUUCAUACUUCAUAAAUCACUUUCAUACAAAAUUGGAUACAGCAUUCCUUAGCAUUACUGUGGCUAUAUUAUCUGACAAUAUGACAUAGGUAAAUAAAAAUAUAAUAACCUUGACAUCUUGAAACGACACAGGAUCCUGUCCAUGGAUUUUCAUUAGUUCUUGUAUGGCCUGUAUUUAAUGGAAAUAAAUCUGUAAAUAAAAAAUUAAUUCAUAAACC